UGAACUGAUGGACACACCUGGGGUCAUCCCUGAGCGGAGCCAGGUCCAUCAAAACCAGGAUGUUGACAGUGGUUUGAUGGAUUUGCUUAGCACCCGAGGUGGCCCCUUGCCUCUUUGUUUAAAAAAAUG
rnacentral:pre_miRNA from 1 species